UUUAUGCUCUGUGCAGUCUAGUUCGCUGGGAUAACCAGAAUUAUGUUAAAGAUGGUUUAUUCUUGACAUGAACCUUUCUCUAGACAAACAGGCUGAGGAUUUAGAUGGCAUUAUAGUCCAGCCAUUAAAGCUGCGAGCCAAAGAGACGGGGAACCACCUUGUUAUGUAUCGCCUCCAACUGUGCUUCCUGGUCUGUUAAACAAUCACUUCCUCCUUCCCUAUCCUCCCAUCAGCCUCUGUGUCUGAUUGGAUGUCUGAUCAACACCCUGACUGACAGCAUACACAUCUGUCCCCAUUGGCAAUCUACCUGCAAGUUGAAAUGGAGGGGCAGACAGACAGACGAGGGGUGGAACCGCUGGGUGAGGAGAAAGGAAGGAAGGAAGCAGGGUUUAAAUGGUGCCUUAAGGCAUGGAAGAAGAGGACAGCAGUAGUUAGAGAGCAGCUGUAAUCACCAGACAGACAGUGCCACGCAGAUGCCAGCUGUACAGUGAUGGCCAUGCUGUCCUGAUGCCCCUCAGAUGGCACUAACCGUGCCAGGGAGAGGCCACGAUACCUGGCAGAGGGCACACACACACAUUAGCCCUGCACGCCAGUACCUUCCACUCAGACCAGGUGGCCAGUUGAGAACAAGUUCUCAUUUACAACUGCGACCUGGCCAAGGAUGAUGCCAUGGAUGAUGUCAUGAAUGAUGUCAUGGAUGAUGUAAUGGAAGAAGUCAUGGAUGAUGUCAUGGAAGACAUCAUGGAUGAUGCCAUGGAAGACAUCAUGGAUGAUGUCAUGGAAGACAUCAUGGAUGAUGCCAUGGAAGACAUCAUGGAUGAUGCCAUGGAUGAUGUCAUGGAAGAUGUCAUGGAAGACAUCAUGGAUGACGUCAUGGAUGAUGUUUCUAAUAUAACAUCUAUGAUCAGUUAAGCAUGUGAAGUACCAAUGAACUUUUUGUAAAUGUACAAGACCAAAAUGUACAAUAGGCCUAUCUACACAGUCACACACAGCAGAGCACUGUUAAAGUCUCACUGCAGACUGUUAAAAGAGAGAUAUAGAGAGAACCAGUUAUAAAAUGAAUAUAAUGUUCAGAUGUUUGAAGGUUCAUUAAAACUGAACAAAUGAAUCCCC
ensembl:lncRNA